UGCCAAUGAUGUGAAUUAAUAUUUGCUAUUUGAUUUCAAAAAUGAAAAUAUAUUACCACCAAGAUCUGAGGCA
rnacentral:snoRNA from 1 species